AUGCAUCUCUUCCUUCUCCUUUUCCUCUUUAUUUCCGAUUCUUCUUCCUUCUUCUUUUGUUAUUCUUCUUUCCUCUUCUUUUGUUCUUCUCGCCGAGCCCAGAUACAAAGAGAGAAGAGAGAUCGGAGAGAUAGAGUUUGAGAGAGAGAUCGAGAGACUGAGAGAGAUUGGGAGAGAGGGCGAGUCAGAGAUUGGGAGAGGGAGCUAGAGAUGGAGUCAGACCCAGAACCCAGGGGACCCGAUCCUCUGUGGGUGGUGGCCAGAACUGAAAUCCGGCAAGGCAGGGAGAGGUCCGGCGAGCCGUGAAACCAGAGGAGGCCGAUCCUCCAUGGGUCAUCGGAGGCGUGAUUUUUGGCGGUUCCAGUGGCGAUUCCGGCGAACCCGUGACUCAGUGACUUGUUGACCCGAGACCCGGUGGCUUGAAGGCUGAUUUCCGGAGAAACCUAGGGGAAUUUCCGGUGGCUUCCCUUAGCCUAAACAGAAACUCUCAAAGGGAUGAUGAACUGAUACUGCACAAAAAGGCUAUGUUUGUGCAGGUUCUGAAGAUUAUGGAAUGGAUUAACUGGUAGCUUAAGAGAUUUAAAGCUAUUGUAGUUAGAUUUUAGUGCUUUGUGCCUAUCAAUGUUUGUACUCUUUUGUAAAUAACAUGUUUAGGAAUUUAUUUGUAUUUAGUAAGUUUCCAUGUAUGCUUUUGUGUCAUUUGUGACAUGUAUUUCAUUGUAAUUAGUGUAAAGAACAUUAAAGGACUUGUAAUGUAUU